rnacentral:tRNA from 1 species
GAGGGUACAGCUCAGUGGUAAAGCACAUGCUUAGCAUGCAAGAGGUUCUGGGUUCAAUCCCUGGUACCUCCA